GCCAGACUCCUACGGGAGGCAGCAGUGGGGAAUAUUGCACAAUGGGCGAAAGCCUGAUGCAGCAACGCCGCGUGAAGGAAGAAGGGUUUCGGCUCGUAAACUUCUAUCAACAGGGACGAAAGAAAUGACGGUACCUGAAUAAGAAGCCCCGGCUAACUACGUGCCAGCAGCCGCGGUAAUACGUAGGGGGCAAGCGUUAUCCGGAUUCACUGGGCGUAAAGGGAGCGCAGGCGGCACGGCAAGUCUGAUGUGAAAACCCAGGGCUCAACUCUGGGACUGCAUUGGAAACUGCCGGGCUGGAGUGUCGGAGGGGUAAGCGGAAUUCCUAGUGUAGCGGUGAAAUGCGUAGAUAUUAGGAGGAACACCAGUGGCGAAGGCGGCUUACUGGACGACUACUGACGCUGAGGCUCGAAAGCGUGGGGAGCAAACAGGAUUAGAUACCCCAGUAA
rnacentral:rRNA from 1 species